rnacentral:rRNA from 1 species
UACGAAGGGGGCUAGCGUUACUCGGAAUUACUGGGCGUAAAGGGCGCGUAGGCGGCACGAUUAGUCAGGCGUGAAAUUCCUGGGCUCAACCUGGGGACUGCGCUUGAUACGGUCGAGCUAGAGGAUGGAAGAGGGUCGUGGAAUUCCCAGUGUAGAGGUGAAAUUCGUAGAUAUUGGGAAGAACACCGGUGGCGAAGGCGGCGACCUGGUCCAUUACUGACGCUGAGGCGCGACAGCGUGGGGAGCAAACAGG